rnacentral:tRNA from 1 species
GGCCUCAUAGCUCAGUUGGCUAGAGCGUUGACUGUUAUUUAAUCCUUCCCAGUGCUAACGUAGGUUUGAAUCCCACUGAGGCCG